rnacentral:rRNA from 1 species
GACGAACGCUGGCGGCGUGCUUAACACAUGCAAGUCGAACGAAGUGGCGAACGGGUGAGUAAUACGUGGGUAACCUGCCCUCCUUUUUGGGAUAAGCCUUGGAAACGGGGUCUAAUACCGAAUAAAGGGGGAUGGGCUCGCGGCAUAUCAGCGUGUUGGUGGGGUGAUGGCCUACCAAGGCGGUGACGGGUAGCCGGCCUGAGAGGGUGAACGGCCACAUAGGCACGGGGCAGAGGCCCAGGGUAGGACGCGGGGGAGCAGUGGGGAAUAUGGGAGAAGGGGUGAAGGAGCGAUGCAGCGUGGCUGCGGGGGGGAUGAAGGUUUUCAGGUUGUAAAACUCUUGAGGUAGCGAAGGGGUAGGUGGAGAAGAAGCGCCGGCUAACUACGUGCCAGCAGCCGCGGUAAUUC